AGAGUUGAUCCUGGCUCAGGAUGAACGCUGGCGGCGUGCCUAAUACAUGCAAGUCGAGCGAAUGGAUUAAGAGCUUGCUCUUAUGAAGUUAGCGGCGGACGGGUGAGUAACACGUGGGUAACCUGCCCAUAAGACUGGGAUAACUCCGGGAAACCGGGGAUAAUACCGGAUAACAUUUUGAACCGCAUGGUUCGAAAUUGAAAGGCGGCUUCGGCUGUCACUUAUGGAUGGACCCGCGUCGCAUUAGCUAGUUGGUGAGGUAACGGCUCACCAAGGCAACGAUGCGUAGCCGACCUGAGAGGGUGAUCGGCCACACUGGGACUGAGACACGGCCCAGACUCCUACGGGAGGCAGCAGUAGGGAAUCUUCCGCAAUGGACGAAAGUCUGACGGAGCAACGCCGCGUGAGUGAUGAAGGCUUUCGGGUCGUAAAACUCUGUUGUUAGGGAAGAACAAGUGCUAGUUGAAUAAGCUGACACCUUGACGGUACCUAACCAGAAAGCCACGGCUAACUACGUGCCAGCAGCCGCGGUAAUACGUAGGUGGCAAGCGUUAUCCGGAAUUAUUGGGCGUAAAGCGCGCGCAGGUGGUUUCUUAAGUCUGAUGUGAAAGCCCACGGCUCAACCGUGGAGGGUCAUUGGAACUGGGAGACUUGAGUGCAGAAGAGGAAAGUGGAAUUCCAUGUGUAGCGGUGAAAUGCGUAGAGAUAUGGAGGAACACCAGUGGCGAAGGCGACUUUCUGGUCUGUAACUGACACUGAGGCGCGAAAGCGUGGGGAGCAACAGGAUUAGAUACCCUGGUAGUCCACGCCGUAAACGAUGAGUGCUAAGUGUUAGAGGGUUUCCGCCCUUUAGUGCUGAAGUUAACGCAUUAAGCACUCCGCCUGGGGAGUACGGCCGCAAGGCUGAAACUCAAAGGAAUUGACGGGGGCCCGCACAAGCGGUGGAGCAUGUGGUUAAUUCGAAGCAACGCGAAGAACCUUACCAGGUCUUGACAUCCUCUGACAACC
rnacentral:rRNA from 1 species